GUGGGGAAUAUUGGACAAUGGGCGAAAGCCUGAUCCAGCCAUGCCACGUGAGUGAUGAAGGCCUUAGGGUUGUAAUGCUCUUUUAGCGGGGAAGAUAAUGACGGUACCCGCAGAAUAAGCCCCGGCUAACUUCGUGCCAGCAGCCGCGGUAAUACGAAGGGGGCUAGCGUUGUUCGGAAUUACUGGGCGUAAAGCGCACGUAGGCGGAUUGACAAGUCAGGGGUGAAAUCCCGGGGCUCAACCUCGGAACUGCCUUUGAUACUGUCAGUCUAGAGUCCGGAAGAGGUGGGUGGAAUUCCUAGUGUAGAGGUGAAAUUCGCAGAUAUUAGGAAGAACACCGGUGGCGAAGGCGGCCCACUGGUCCGGAACUGACGCUGAGGUGCGAAAGCGUGGGGAGCAAACAGGAUUAGAAACCCGUGUAUCC
rnacentral:rRNA from 1 species